rnacentral:rRNA from 1 species
UACGGAGGGUGCAAGCGUUAUCCGGAUUCACUGGGUUUAAAGGGUGCGUAGGUGGAUCUAUAAGUCAGUGGUGAAAGCCCCGAGCUCAACUUGGGAAUUGCCAUUGAUACUGUAGAUCAUGAGUGCGGUUGAGGUAGGCGGAAUGUUGCAUGUAGCGGUGAAAUGCUUAGAUAUGCAACAGAACACCGAUUGCGAAGGCAGCUUACCAAGCCGAUACUGACACUGAUGCACGAAAGCGUGGGGAUCAAACAGG